GCAAGUGAUGAUUUAAUCAUUCUUCACUUUGACCUGAGUUAACUGUGAUGAUAACCUCAACUCUGAGC